AGGACGAACGCUGGCGGCGUGCCUAACACAUGCAAGUCGAGCGAGGAGAUUCCUCGGGAUGAUCCUAGCGGCGGACGGGUGAGUAACACGUGGGCAACCUGCCUCAUAGAGAGGAAUAGCCUUCCGAAAGGGAGAUUAAUACCUCAUAACAUUGCAGUUUCGCAUGGAACAGCAAUUAAAGGAGCAAUCCGCUAUGAGAUGGGCCCGCGGCGCAUUAGCUAGUUGGUGAGGUAACGGCUCACCAAGGCGACGAUGCGUAGCCGACCUGAGAGGGUGAUCGGCCACAUUGGGACUGAGACACGGCCCAGACUCCUACGGGAGGCGGCAGUGGGGAAUAUUGCACAAUGGGGGAAACCCUGAUGCAGCAACGCCGCGUGGGUGAUGACGGCCUUCGGGUUGUAAAGCUCUGUCUUCAGGGACGAUAAUGACGGUACCUGAGGAGGAAGCCACGGCUAACUACGUGCCAGCCGCCGC
rnacentral:rRNA from 1 species